AGUGAACGCUGGCGGUAGGCCUAACACAUGCAAGUCGAACGGCAGCACAGUAAGAGCUUGCUCUUACGGGUGGCGAGUGUCGGACGGGUGAGGAAUACAUCGGAAUCUACUUUUUCGUGGGGGAUAACGUAGGGAAACUUACGCUAAUACCGCAUACGACCUACGGGUGAAAGCAGGGGAUCUUCGGACCUUGCGCGAUUGAAUGAGCCGAUGUCGGAUUAGCUAGUUGGCGGGGUAAAGGCCCACCAAGGCGACGAUCCGUAGCUGGUCUGAGAGGAUGAUCAGCCACACUGGAACUGAGACACGGUCCAGACUCCUACGGGAGGCAGCAGUGGGGAAUAUUGGACAAUGGGCGCAAGCCUGAUCCAGCCAUACCGCGUGGGUGAAGAAGGCCUUCGGGUUGUAAAGCCAUUUUGUUGGGAAAGAAAAGCAGCAGGUUAAUACCCCGCUGUUCUGACGGUACCCAAAGAAUAAGCACCGGCUAACUUCGUG
rnacentral:rRNA from 1 species